ACGGACGCUGGCGGCAUGCCUAACACAUGCAAGUCGCACGAGACCUUCGGGUCUAGUGGCGCACGGGUGCGUAACGCGUGGGAACCUGCCCUUAGGUUCGGAAUAACUCCCCGAAAGGGGUGCUAAUACCGGAUAAUGUCUUCGGACCAAAGAUUUAUCGCCUUUGGAUGGGCCCGCGUUGGAUUAGCUAGUUGGUAGGGUAAAAGCCUACCAAGGCGACGAUCCAUAGCUGGUCUGAGAGGAUGAUCAGCCACACUGGGACUGAGACACGGCCCAGACUCCUACGGGAGGCAGCAGUGGGGAAGAUUGGACAAUGGGCGAAAGCCGGAUCCAGCAAUGCCGCGGGAGUGAUGAAGGCCUUAGGGUUGUAAAGCUCUUUUACCCGGGAUGAUAAUGACAGUACCGGGAGAAUAAGCUCAGGCUAACUCCGU
rnacentral:rRNA from 1 species